GUAGAUGUAGCUCAAUCGGUAGAGCGCGCAACUUAUAAUUGCGUGGGUGCAGGUUCAAGCCCUGCCGUCUACACUC
rnacentral:tRNA from 1 species